rnacentral:rRNA from 1 species
AGCAGUAGCCGCGGUAAUACAGAGGGUGCGAGCGUUAAUCGGAUUUACUGGGCGUAAAGCGUGCGUAGGCGGCUUUUUAAGUCGGAUGUGAAAUCCCUGAGCUUAACUUAGGAAUUGCAUUCGAUACUGGGAAGCUAGAGUAUGGGAGAGGAUGGUAGAAUUCCAGGUGUAGCGGUGAAAUGCGUAGAGAUCUGGAGGAAAACCGAUGGCGAAGGCAGCCAUCUGGCCUAAUACUGACGCUGAGGUACGAAAGCAUGGGGAGCAAACAGGAUUAGAUACCCCUGUAGUCCCUGUCUCUUAUAC